rnacentral:tRNA from 1 species
AUUCUUUUAGUAUUGACCAGUACAAUUGACUUCCAAUCAAUCAGCUUCGGUAUAAUCCCGAAAAAGAAUA